rnacentral:rRNA from 1 species
UACGAAGGGGGCAAGCGUUGUUCGGAAUUACUGGGCGUAAAGGGCGCGUAGGCGGCUUAUCAAGUCAGGCGUGAAAUUCCCGGGCUCAACCUGGGGGCUGCGCUUGAUACUGAUUGGCUUGAAUGCGGGAGAGGAUAGUGGAAUUCCCAGUGUAGAGGUGAAAUUCGUAGAUAUUGGGAAGAACACCGGUGGCGAAGGCGGCUAUCUGGCCCGUAAUUGACGCUGAGGCGCGAAAGCUAGGGGAGCAAACGGG